AUCCGCCCUUUGUGUCCGUGGCUGCGCCGCGUGUGGGAUUAUUACGGCUCUUAUGUAAUUCUCCAGAAUGUUCCAGAAAAGGUGUGAGCGCUCUGUGGUCCGCGUGCGUGCGCGUGCACGGAGCGCAUCUCUAAAAUGCCCGCGCUGCGUCCUGCGGAGGAUCCGCAGACUCACUGACCUCCGAUCAGUCCACCUGCAGCCUGUCUGUGACGUCAGCGUGUUCCGUCCAUAUGCGUGUGUUAAAGACGAAAGAACAGCUGCUGAUAGAUCACAGCAUAAAGGAGGACUAAGGGAAUAAAGACCAAGAGCAUGA